UGGUCGCCUGGCUCCCGCCCCGCCACCCAGCUCGCACCGCGCCACGCCCGGCCCUGGACGAGGAGCAGCAGCCGGGAGCCCGGGGCUUGUCCCGUCGCUGAGAGCUCGGGCACGCCCUGUAAAAUGGGGCGCCCAGGAUUUUCUAACUCGAUGCCCAGACAGAUCCCCAUCACGGGUGCAUCGCCCCGGGACCUCCGAGCAGCAUCCCCGGUUUCAAAAGAUGUUUCAGUGUAAGCAUUUCCGGGGACUCUAGGCUCUGUUCCUCCUGUAACCAGUUGACAACUCCACCGGGAACCUGAAUCCCCCUGGGAGACGAGCUGCAGCCACCUCCACAAAGCCCCUACUACCCCCCACCCACCCCGCUGGUCUGUUCUGCCGUGGUUGCCUCACUGGAUUGUGUCCUGGGCCUCUGUUAGCACAUUGGUCACUCUGUGGUUACCCGUGCUUUCCUGACAGAGCCAGAAGACCAAACAACAGGACACUAUGGCAAUAGACUGGGGACACCACCUGUUGAUAAAGAAGUGAUAGGGCAAAAUAAAGAUCAUGUAUGUCGUUACCUUGAUGCUGACUUAUCCACAGUAAUGGGCUGUGUUAGGGCAGGGAUUUUCAAUUUUAAUACAGCACACAAACUAAUUAUUAAAAUUCUGUAGCACACCAAAAAACAUUUUAUUGCCAGUCUGACCCAAAAAAAAUAGGUAUGAUUUUGAUUCACUUACACCAGACAGCUAUUUUUGUGUUGACUGUUGUUUUUUUUAUUUGAUAAUCCUAGGAGAAAGAGGUCAGUGUCCCUGACUAGGUCAGGUAUUGCAUAUUUUUAAAAUUCUUGCAGUGUACCCAUUGAAAAUACUUGUGUUAAGGUGACUAGUGCUGAGCAAUAAUAGGAUUGUAGAAAGUCUUGACAUUGAACAGAAGAGAUUAGAGUGAUCAGCAGGUAAUGACGAGACAGUGACAGGUUGUGUGUAAGGUAGGGGCUUCCUGAAAAUGGUGCUUUUAAGAAGUUUGAUGCUGUGUGCAGACCUGAGUUACCCAGAGAAAGGAGGUAGGUGAGGCUCUCCAGAUGGUUUUAUAAACUGUGAGAGACCCACAUCUAGAGCAAGAGCUCAGAAAGGGCACCAUCAACAACCUUGCAAGAUCCUACCAGGCACCAGGCAGGUAGUGGGAUGUAGAGUUGUUUACAACAUGCCAGGAUUAGGGCUCUUUGGAGCAUUUGUGCGCAAAUUCAGGAUAAAUCAAGGACAGCACAGAGUAAACCUAUGAUAUAAGUCCUUCCCAAAAGCCAGAACAGGCUGUAAAGUUAAAUGCAGGGUGUGCCCCAGAGUUGGAAUAAUUUUUCCCCUAAAUGGAAAGGGAUUAAUUUCCUGAUAAACAAGAAAGUAAGUUGUGGACCCUUACACGGUGUCUUCUCAAAUCCAGUGGCAUUUGCAGUUUGCUCUUCCUCCUGAGUCCCUCGGGUAGAACCCACCUGUUAGGGUAGACUGUGAGCAGCAAAUUUGGCCUCUGAUGGUCCAGCUUCUUUUCUCACUGCCCCCCCAUUUAUAGGUCUACUCCCUUAUGAGUCCAGCAGAUAUUGACUGACUUCCAGCUGCAUGGGAAGGGAAGGCAGCACCUCAUAAAGCCUUUGAAAACCAGAAUAGCUUAGUUCCCAAAGAGUUUGGGGGCUUUAAAGGUAGAAACCAGUGAGGCCAAUGCCGAGCCUUGAGGGAGGUACUGUCAGAACCUCUCCUACCAGGGAGACUUCAGCAAGAAGUCUCUGGAGACCUUCAAAUGACCUAACUUCAUACAGACUGACUCUGAAAAGCAAUGAAGUAAGAGUCUGAGCUGUGGUUCUCCCUGGCUCUGUGACUGUCUCUUUUUUUCUCUGGGCUUCAGUUUCUGCAUCCGUUCAUUGUGGGAUCUCGACCAGAUAGCUUUUCAGUCUAUCUUGGCUGAAGAAUUCCUUUUACCAUGUAUAUUCUUGCCAACACCUUGAGAUUAUUUAACCAUUUAAUAAUUUGUGUGAUGUUAAUAAAGAAGGGAUUUUUUAACUAAAA